rnacentral:rRNA from 1 species
UACGGGGGGGGCAAGCGUUGUUCGGAAUUACUGGGCGUAAAGGGCUCGUAGGCGGCCAACUAAGUCAGACGUGAAAUCCCUCGGCUUAACCGGGGAACUGCGUCUGAUACUGGAUGGCUUGAGUUUGGGAGAGGGAUGCGGAAUUCCAGGUGUAACGGUGAAAUGCGUAGAUAUCUGGAGGAACACCGGUGGCGAAGGCGGCAUCCUGGACCAACACUGACGCUGAGUGAGCGAAAGCCAGGGGAGCAAACGGG